UCUCCUGGAAACGGGUGGUAAUGCCGGAUGCUCCAGUUGAUCGCAUGGUCUUCUGGGAAAGCUUUCGCGGUAUGGGAUGGGGUCGCGUCCUAUCAGCUUGACGGCGGGGUAACGGCCCACCGUGGCUUCGACGGGUAGCCGGCCUGAGAGGGCGACCGGCCACAUUGGGACUGAGAUACGGCCCAGACUCCUACGGGAGGCAGCAGUGGGGAAUAUUGCACAAUGGGCGCAAGCCUGAUGCAGCGACGCCGCGUGAGGGAUGGAGGCCUUCGGGUUGUAAACCUCUUUUAUCGGGGAGCAAGCGAGAGUGAGUUUACCCGUUGAAUAAGCACCGGCUAACUACGUGCCAGCAGCCGCGGUAAUACGUAGGGUGCAAGCGUUAUCCGGAAUUAUUGGGCGUAAAGGGCUCGUAGGCGGUUCGUCGCGUCCGGUGUGAAAGUCCAUCGCUUAACGGUGGAUCCGCGCCGGGUACGGGCGGGCUUGAGUGCGGUAGGGGAGACUGGAAUUCCCGGUGUAACGGUGGAAUGUGUAGAUAUC
rnacentral:rRNA from 3 species